GGCUCGUUAACUCAGUUGGUUGGAGUGUUAUGCUAAUAAUGCAAUGUUGCGGGUUGGAGCCCCAUACUAACCA
rnacentral:tRNA from 1 species